GUGGGGAAUCUUCCACAAUGGACGAAAGUCUGAUGGAGCAACGCCGCGUGAGUGAAGAAGGGUUUCGGCUCGUAAAGCUCUGUUGUCGGGGACGAAUGUGCAGUAUUUGAAUAAAGUACUGCAAUGACGGUACCUGACGAGGAAGCCACGGCUAACUACGUGCCAGCAGCCGCGGUAAUACGUAGGUGGCAAGCGUUGUCCGGAAUUAUUGGGCGUAAAGGGAGCGCAGGCGGGAAGGUAAGUCGGUCUUAAAAGUGCGGGGCUCAACCCCGUGAUGGGAGCGAAACUAUCUUUCUUGAGUGCAGGAGAGGAAAGUGGAAUUCCUAGUGUAGCGGUGAAAUGCGUAGAUAUUAGGAGGAACACCAGUGGCGAAGGCGACUUUCUGGACUGUAACUGACGCUGAGGCUCGAAAGCCAGUGGAGCGAACGGGAUUAGAAACCCUGGUAGUCC
rnacentral:rRNA from 1 species